rnacentral:rRNA from 1 species
GACGAACGCUGGCGGCGUGCUUAACACAUGCAAGUCGAACGGAAAGGCCCUGCGCUUGUGGGGUGCUCGAGUGGCGAACGGGUGAGUAACACGUGAGUAACCUGCCCUCGACUUUGGGAUAACUUCAGGAAAGUGGGGUUAAUACCGGAUAGGAGCAUCAGCUGCAUGGUGGGGGUUGGAAAGUUUCGGCGGUUGGGGAUGGACUCGCGGCUUGUCAGCUUGUUGGUGGGGUAGUGGCUUACCAAGGCUUUGACGGGUAGCCGGCCUGAGAGGGUGACCGGCCACAUUGGGACUGAGAUACGGCCCAGCCUCCUACGGGAGGCAGCAGUGGGGAAUAUUGCACAAUGGGCGGAAGCCUGAUGCAGCAACGCCGCGUGCGGGAUGACGGCCUUCGGGUUGUAAACCGCUUUCGCCUGUGACGAAGCGUGAGUGACGGUAAUGGGUAAAGAAGCACCGGCUAACUACGUG